rnacentral:rRNA from 1 species
AUGGAGAUGCCGAUUAAUGUAUUAGUCUGGAAUGUAAGGGGGCUGAAUAACCCUGGUAGGAGGUGUUCGAUCAGGCUUUUCACUCAAUCCUACAACAUUUCUUUAGUGUGUUUUCAAGAAUCAAAGUUGCCUACUGUGGAUGCAGCGGUGGUGUGUGAAUGCCUGGGUCCUGCUUUUGAUGCUUUUGAUUAUCUUCAGGCGGAUGGCAGAAGAGGAGGAAUUAUG